UACGUAGGGUGCGAGCGUUAAUCGGAAUUACUGGGCGUAAAGCGUGCGUAGGCGGUUCGCUGUGUCCGAUGUGAAAGCCCCGGGCUUAACCUGGGAAUGGCAUUGGAAACUGGCGGGCUUGAGUGCGGCAGAGGGGGGUGGAAUUCCGCGUGUAGCAGUGAAAUGCGUAGAGAUGUGGAGGAACACCGAUGGCGAAGGCAGCCCCGUGGGCUAACACUGACGCUCAUGCACGAAAGCGUGGGGAGCAAACAGG
rnacentral:rRNA from 1 species